rnacentral:miRNA from 1 species
UUUUAACUUUUAGUAGGUCCCAUGCAAUAUUUGGGAUAUACUUAUACUAAAA